GGCGUGCUUAACACAUGCAAGUCGAACGGGAUCCAAGGGCCCUUUUGUGUGUUUUGAGAAUGGUGGACGGGUGAGUAACACGUGAGUAACCUGCCCCCUUCUUUUGGAUAACCGCAUGAAAGUGUGGCUAUACAGGAUAUUCCAGGCUGGUCGCAUGAUUGGUUUGGGAAAUGGUUUGGUCUGGUGGGGGAUGGGCUCGUGGCCUAUCAUCUUGUUGGUGGGGUGAUGGCCUACCAAGGCGGUGACGGGUAGCCGGCCUGAGAGGGUGGGCGGUCACACUGGGACUGAGAUACGGCCCAGACUCCUACGGGAGGCAGCAGUGGGGGAUUUUGCACAAUGGGCGCAAGCCUGAUGCAGCGACGCCGCGUGAGGGAUGAAGGCCUUCGGGUUGUAAACCUCUUUCGCUGGGUUGAAAGGCCAUGCUUUGGGU
rnacentral:rRNA from 1 species